CAGACUGGGAUGCUGGGAAGGAUUCUCCAUUAGCCUGGCGCUCUGAAGUUGUGAAGCACUCUGAGCAUUCUGCAGGCGUGUCUGCAGGGACGACCUCACCAACUCCUACCUUGGAUGCUGCACAAAAGCCCAGCUCCCAUGGCAGGGGUCCUCUGACAGGAGAGACCAAAGACAUGGCAGGCAGGAAAUUCCAGGACCCAUUAGAAAUCAUGUGGCAAAUGCUGAAGGAACGUCUGCAGAGAAGACAAG